CUGUGCCACAAAUAAAGCAAUGCUUUUUUUAAAGGAUUAAGUUGAAUUAAAUAAGAACGCCUUGUAGGUUAAAGACAAUCAAAAACGGAGUCUUUAAGGCUAAGGUAGAACACAACAUAGUUUUAAGCAGUAUGAUGAGUUUACAAAGUACACAUUUUAGUCUUCUAAAUACAUUUUAAAUCAUUUACGUAUUUUACAUACAGCUGCGGUCAAAAUAUUAGCAGUAAGAAGGAAAUACCGACAAAAUUGAACCUAAUAAAUACCUUAUGAUUUUUAAUCGUUAUAAAUAUUUAUAUUUAUUAAGCCACAUUAAUUUUAAUCCAGGUUAUGACAAGAAAAGUUAGAUUUUAUCAAAUAAAUAAAAAUAAAAAGAAAAUUUUACCUUCAAGGUAAAGAUUUGCUCCGGUCAAAAAAUAGCAGUAUUCACAAAAAUUAAGGAAAUUAACAAAAUGUUGAUAAAAAUUUCAAGAAAAUUUAUUAAUAUUUGGUUGUAGACCCCUUAUUGCUUAUAACGGCCUCACAUCGGCGCUUCAUAGAAUCAACCAAAGCCUGACAUCUCUCCAAUGGGAUACUUUUCCAUGCAGUCUCAACUGUUAUCCAAAGCUGAUUAUUGUUGGUCGGUAUUGAUGCUGCAACCAUUUUUUAACAUCUGCCCAAAGGUUCUCUAUUGGGUUGAGGUCAGGUGAUUGGGGAGGCCAAUCUAAAACAGAAAUAUUAUUGACCCGAAACCACUCCUUAGCUUUUUUGCUGGUGUGCUUCGGGUCAUUGUCUUGUUGAAAAACCCAUCUGAUUGGCAUUUCCUCCUCUGCGUAAGGCAGCAUGGUUCCCUGAAGAAUGUCAACGUAAACAUGCUGAUCCAUCACACCAUUUAUUCGGUAUAUGGGACCUACAACGUGGUAUGAGAAGGAACCCUAUACCAUAAUGCUAGAGCCACCAUGUUUAACGGUUUUACGCGUAUACCUAGGCACGUAUUCAGCAUUUGGUGGGCGUCGCACAUAUUCACGAGAACCAGGGCUGCCAUACAAAACGAUUUUGCUGUCAUCCGUCCAUAAGAUAUUUCGCCAAUCCUGAAGGGGCCUAUGAACAUGGGUCUUGGCAAACUGAAUUCUUUUGGCAAUGUGUUUUUUGUCAAAAGUGGAACUUUUCUGGGGCUUCUGGCGUUGAGAUUCAAAUGGGGUGGCGCAACAGUCCGUUGUGAACCAGGGCCUAGUGACUUACAACUCUCAACCAUUCCUGUGUGCGAGUACUGUUGUCAGGAAUGGAAUUUUGAUUAUUUAUAUUAUUUAAGAGAUUAUUUCUUCUUAAAAUUCUUCUUAAUGUUUCUACACUUGCAUUCAAAUUUAAUUCUUUUUUAUCUCAGUAGCAGGCAAGUGGGGUAAGGCUUUCGAGCAUCUUACAAUUCUCCUUACCGAUUUCGGAGAUAAAACUUUUUUCCUGACGCGGAUUUCAGGUUCUUCUUUAUAAUUUUUUGCAUUCGAAAUCAUUUUUGCCUGAUUUUUGAUUUUUGAAAUCAGUUUUUCCUUCAGAAAGAAGUUGGCGAAUGAUUCGGCGUUUCUCCGGAGUGCAGUGUUUACUACGGCCCAUACUGUAAGUGUAUCUGAGUAUAAAUAUGAUAAUACAAUGAGGCAUUGAAAGCUUACCUUGAAACUUGAGAUAAUUAUAAUUCAAAUGUGCACAGGAUCAAAAAACAAUAUACAAAUACCAUAAGCUUGCUAAAACUGCUAUUAUUUUGACCGCUAAGAUAUACACUUUAACAGCAUUAGAGUAACAUAUGGAAAAAAACCGUUAUGUCAUUUAAUUUUUUUUCCGGAAAUGGAAGACAAAAUGUUCUACUACCAAAAAAGUAGUUAAAGAAUGUAAUUAAUUGUUCAUAUAUUGCAUUGUACUAGAAUAUAUUAAUAUGGAGGUUACACUGCUAUUAUUUUGACUGGCACUGUAGUUCUUUAAAUUUUGUAUUAGUUAUAUUAUAUUUAUUUUUUUUCAUGGCUUUGAAAAAUACGUUCUGGAGUUUUUUUUUGGUGCAGAUUUCGAAUUCGAAGUUCGAUUUUAACUAUCAGCUCAAAUUUCAAUAUACAGCCUUAUUUUGACAUUCUCUUUCGUUCGAAAGUUAUUCGCAUUCGUAUGAUACGUAUUUUUACUUUCUAACGAUUCGAAAGUUCAUUUUAAUUUGAAACUUAAGCAAACUUUGACUUUUUAAUCAUUCGAAACAAACGUCAUUUUAUAAGCGUUCAAAUCUUGAAGAAGGAAAUUAAAAGAAAACCAUGUCACAAUCACACUCAAAUUGGACAACGAGUUAACAAAAGGAAGUUCUCAUACAGCUUAUGGAAGAAAACCAAGAAAUAGCGAGGGGUUUUUUAACAAAUAGAACAGAUGUUGAUCGGUUUUGGAGAAAUGCCGUCGAUAAAUUAAAUAGCUAUGGGCCCCCAACUAAGGACGGAUCCACCUGGAAAAAGGUGAAUUAAAUUAAUGUUUGUAUGUAUGUUUAUGUAUGUGUUAACCAGCAUCUGGGUACAAGGUUUGGGCCGACUUCAAAACAAAAACAAAAAAGAAUUUGUUUGGAAAAUGAAGUCAAGAGGAAGCAGUCGGGCUUCAACGACAAUAGUUUAACAAUCCUCACUGAAUUUGAAGAAGCCAUCGUCAGAAUACGUGGAAAUGUAUUUGGCAUAGCUCAGCCUCCGACGGAAGAGUCUGAAACUUUGCCAAAAUCAAAUGACAUGUCGAUGACAUCUUGCCAUGUGAACGAAAAUGCGAGUGAAGAUUUGUCUCCAGGUUGUAGUAGAAGGCCCAAAAAAGACACACCUGUGCAAAUUCUACAAAAGCAGAAUGACGUUCAACAAGUUUUGUUUGAAGAUUUGUGUUCCAAACUGAAUCACAUUAAAGAAGAACUCCACCGAAUAACCCGCUACUUACAGAGGACCAGUGAUACACAAAAAGAAAAUCGUCGCAA